UGCGAAUUAGGUGUUACGGUAGCAUGCCUACUUUCCAAGUAGGAGGAGCGGUUCGAUUCCGCUAUUCGCUC
rnacentral:tRNA from 1 species